UUUCCGUAGGUGAACCUGCGGAAGGAUCAUUACUGAGUGAGGGCCCUCUGGGUCCAACCUCCCACCCGUGUUUAUUGUACCUUGUUGCUUCGGUGAGCCCGCCUCACGGCCGCCGGGGGGCAUCUGCCCCCCGGGCCCGCGCUCGCCGAAGGCACCCUUGAACUCUGUCUGAAGUUUGCAGUCUGAGCGAAAACUAAAUAAGUUAAAACUUUCAACAACGGAUCUCUUGGUUCCG
rnacentral:misc_RNA from 1 species